rnacentral:tRNA from 1 species
UUAAGUGAAACCAAAGUGUAGGUAUAUUAUUGUUAAUAAUAGUUAGGUGUUUUUAACCCUCUU